CGAUAAGUAAUGUGAAUUGCAGAAUUCAGUGAAUCAUCGAAUCUUUGAACGCACCUUGCGCCCUUUGGUAUUCCGAAGGGCACACCUGUUUGAGUGUCGUGA
rnacentral:rRNA from 1 species